rnacentral:lncRNA from 1 species
AUUCCAAAAAUGAUGGGUGCAUUCUGGAUAACAUUCACAUUCUGGGUGGGCAGAACACAUUCCUGUGUGGUCACCGAGCACACCCGCGUGGUUUCGGAAGGGUCCGACGUCCAUCUGUUUUGCAACAUCUCCUCGUGUCCACGGUUACGAGGUCAGAGUGCCAGUUUGGAAUGGGAGUUUAACCAAACAUCGGUUCCCAUCUUCCAUUAUGCAAACAGAAGUGUGAUAAGGUGGCCAAAUGUCAAGUUUAUGGGCAACAUUGCAGCAGGUGACUUCUCCAUCAUCCUGAGCUCCGUGACGUACGAACGGAGUGGCACGUACCUCUGUCGCUUCCGUCCACCGCACAGCCCUGUCAUCUACAAGAACUACACUCAGCUCACUGUGAUCUACAGGAGAUCAGGUGGACAUGCAGGACAUGAACUCUCCCAAAACAGAUCGCAAGCAGAUGCCUCUGACAACAUAGUGGCCCCAUCUCCCUGGCUGCUGUCGAUGUACUGCUACAUUGUGGGACUGCUGCUGGUAGUUGUCACUGGGUGGGCACUGGCCUGGUGGUUCCGAUGGAGAAGGGCACUGGCUAAAAACGGUGUGCAGAGGAAGGAUGAGAGGAUGACGAUCCACAAAGGAGAUCCACAGCCUCCCCAUGGAAACCAGGACACCUAUGUGACACUUCAGAGAUGCAAGAACCCACCUCCCCCUUCUCCCCAACGGGAGGGCAUCUAUGUAACUAUGAGAACCCCCGGAGCCGUGGAUCCCACAGUGCAGUCGGGCCGCAGCAGGAAGGGCAUUCCCCUCGAGUGGUAUGCCCGGACAGACGUAACCCUUCCAGGAAAAAUAAGCUCCGGAUAACUGGACAACAGAUGAUGUAGUCCUGCAUCAAAAAUGACUUCUUCUUCCAUGCCUGCAUGUAUCAGGCCAGAAUGCGUUACUGCACCAGACGUAAAGAUAAUUUUCUUUCCUAUUAUCUCUUCCGAAGGAGUUUAAUGUCAAAAUUAUCUCCGUUUUGGAUCCACCUACUUUUUCAUUUGUCAGCGUCACUGUAUAAAGUGAAAUACGGACAUUAACCUGUUUUUCUAGCAAUUCACUGAUGCUGGUUUGUCAGAACUGCAGCUGCCGCUGUUUCAGGGGAAAUGACUGAUUAAGUGACCUUUGACAUUCAGAUGUCCGUUAAUCGCUCUGCCCUUAAUCCUGUGUCUUUUCUUUCUUAUCUCUUUGCUAAAAGCUUCCUGAUCCCAUUGUGUGAAAACAUCAUUGUUGUUCCUUUCUGUUAUUUUCUAAUUUUUUCAUACUACCUAAAUACUUUGCUUUUGUGAUUUUUUUUUUUUUUUUUUUUUUUUCUCACUCAUUAUUUUUAAUCAAAAAAAUAUUUAUUCUGCCUGCUAGAUUUUCUUUUUUCUUUCUUUUUUUUCUUUUCUUUUUUUUGUUUAGCAUCUACGACCACUGGGAUUUCUCAUGAACCUCUGAUCCUCUUUUGGAAAGAAUUAUUUGUAUGUUCUUAAAGGCACAGCCUAGAGGUUCCUGGAGCAGCCAAACACAGUACUUAAGUAAAAGUGCUGGGCCUUUCAAAAAAUAAUUAAUCGAGUAAAAGUAGUCAUCCAAAAAAUCUGCUUAAGUGAAAAAGAAUCAGGUUGAAAAAAUACAGUUACCCAAGAUGCUUUGACUCAAAUGAAACUUUUAACUUGACUUUUCAGUAAAUUUAAAUCUGUUGUGUAAAAGGAUUGCAUGUUAUCUAGACUAAUCAAAUCAAUAUAAACAAAUAAAACAAAAGACCAGAGUCA